UGGCUCAGUUGCUAAAGCAUAGCGCUUGCAACGCAAAGGUUGUGGGUUCGAUUCCCAU
rnacentral:tRNA from 1 species